UUGUAUUUUAGUAUAAGAUGUACGGGGGCUUUUGAUGCUUCGGGUAAUAGUUUAAUUCUAUUAGAUAUAAU
rnacentral:tRNA from 1 species